rnacentral:misc_RNA from 1 species
AACAAAAAAACCUUGCAUCAUCAUGUAUCAUAUAAAAUAUGUGUACGUGUGUGUGUGGGGGAAAUAUCUGAAAAAAAGAGAGCCCUUGGGGAUUACGGAUGAAGCAUCAUAUUUUUUUAAUGUAUAAAAGUGUGUGCAUGAUCCGCUCCGGCGUUUGUGCGUGUUCUCCAUUUUUUUUAGAUUCUUGUUUCUUGUUCUUUUGAAUAUAUGAAAUAAUGAGAAUCUAUUAUUUUGGGGAGUGCGCGUGCAAUAACAAACAAAAAAACUCACAGGAGGAAUUAAUUGAAAAAAAAAAAGGGGGGUUUUGGUUGGUUGUGUGGAAAGGUGGAAAAGGUUUUGUGUGUGUGUGUAUUGCGAGAGAGAGAGAGAAAGGUGUGUGGUGGUGUGGUUUAACACGCCUUAAGGUUAAUUAAUUACUCACUUUUCCCAAUUUACACGGGACCAGGGGCAAAAACCCCCCAAACACAACCCGGAGACCUUAAUUUUUUUUUUGUUC